AUUGAACGCUGGCGGCAGGCCUAACACAUGCAAGUCGAACGAGUGGCGGACGGGUGAGUAAUGUCUGGGAAACUGCCUGAUGGAGGGGGAUAACUACUGGAAACGGUAGCUAAUACCGCAUACCCUCGGAUGAUCCCAGAUGGGAUUAGCUUGUUGGUGGGGUAAAGGCUCACCAGGGCGACGAUCCCUAGCUGGUCUGAGAGGAUGACCAGCCACACUGGAACUGAGACACGGCCCAGACUCCGACGGGAGGCAGCAGGGGGGAAUAUUGCACAAUGGGCGCAAGCCUGAUGCAGCCAUGCCGCGUGUAUGAAGAAGGCCUUAGGGUUGUAAAGUACUUUCAGCGGGGAGGCGUUACCCGCAGAAGAAGCACCGGCUAACUCCGUGCCAGCAGCCGCGGUAAUAC
rnacentral:rRNA from 1 species